CAGACAUGACCAUGUUUGGGAGAAGAUUAUGGCAACAUUUGGAAUUUGGUCUGGUAAAGGUCUUCAAGGUCCAGCUCUCAGUGGGAUGUCCUAUAGGAUGCUGGGAAAAUAAGAAUGUUGAGAGAAAUGGAGACAAUGGAAUCAUGGAUUAUGAAGUCUCAGAAGGAAACAAAGCUUUAUCAAGGGGAAAAGGAACUAAGGCCGAGGGGAGGAUCUACCAACCUUCAGCUUGGUGAGAGUCACAUGCAGGGCAUCAUCGGUGAGGCAUUGCGAACAGUCGCUAAUGUUUUCAUCUAUAAAGAGUUCAGAAUAUGCAUACCUCCUUUUCCUGUGAAAUUCUGAGUGAAUAAUACAGUACAAGUUUCCAUGCUGCUGGGAGUCUCUGAUACAUAGCCGGAGGACUAAUGUCUUAGUGAAAGCUAGCUUGUCACUUUCAAAAGGAAACCUCUUCAAGUCAAAUUCUCAGUGUGACUGGACUACAGAAUACAUUUUAAAUAAACAUUGGGAAAUGAAAACAAAUUGUUACUUUUUCAAUCAUUUAUCUGUCUCCCCCAAUUUUUCUACCAGGUGAAUCCUCACAGAUACAAGUUACUCAUACACAGAUACAUAUUUAUUUAUAAAUAUCUAG
ensembl:lncRNA AABR07068554.1